rnacentral:rRNA from 1 species
CACGCCGUAAACGAUGAGAACUAGCCGUCGGGUCCAUUUACGGGCUUGGUGGCGCAGCUAACGCGUUAAGUUCUCCGCCUGGGGAGUACGGCCGCAAGGUUAAAACUCAAAGGAAUUGACGGGGGCCCGCACAAGCGGUGGAGCAUGUGGUUUAAUUCGAUGCAACGCGAAGAACCUUACCUGGCCUUGACAUCCUGGGAACCCUGCAGAGAUGCGGGGGUGCCUUCGGGAACCCAGAGACAGGUGC